rnacentral:lncRNA from 1 species
GUUCAGCUGAGAGGUCGGGUUAAAGAAAGUGUGGAAUUGGAGACAGCGGGGUAGAAGAACCAAUGAGUACGGCGAAGAGAGAACCAACGGAGAAAGAUUUCAGUGAGCGCGGGAAGAGAAGCAACAGUGUCCGAUCCCGGUUCCCAAUAAGACACUGCAAAGGAAUGCACUGAGUGUAUAAGGCUCCUUUGAGGUUCAAAAAAUAGAGAAAGAAAAAGCGUUGCCUUUGCAGCCUACCCAGGUGUUCUCUAAACACUGUAAUUUCUUCUUUGUGGGUCGGUGGCCCAGCUGCAUCUUUCCCACGCACCUCGUGACCAUCUCCAGCACUGACCUCCAGCCACUAGGCUCACAAAGAGUUGUUUCAAAAGCACCUUUUUGUGGCAGGAUUCUGGGAUCGGAUCUAAGAAGCCAGUUAACUAAAGCCUACUGACAUCCUACCCUGUGAAAAAAAGUCCACACUGACAAAGGACGGAGUGUCAAUGCUAAUUCCCUAGAAGACUUGAUUAGAUAAACGGAUUCACGGAUACUUCUGGGCACUCAGCAAAUCAUUAGUGGGAUCCGGGGCUUUUAUACCACUUAUAAUACAACCAGAAGCUUGGAUAACAAUGUGUACCUGCCCAUGUGACUCAAAUACCAUUUCUCUCCACAGAAAAGACCAUGAGAAGUGACUUGGUGGAGAAAGUGUUUAAUUUUCAAAGCUUCAGAAUUUUAACAUGUUAUAUGCUUUCAAGACGCACAACAGUAGAAAACAUAUCUGAAGUUGGCUGUACAAAUUGCCCUAGAUUUUUGAAGCUUUCUGCUUCCCUUUCUCAGAGGGGGUACAUAGCACUAAGGCAUGCAAGAAUACUGACACAGUAGAUCCAUCUGCUACCAGAGAAGAAGGGCAAGGGUGCACAGAAAAACACCCCAACUCUCUCCCUGCCUGGGGGACAGUUCUGAGAUGUGCCCUUAAAGGUUUUCAGAGAUAAGAUCGGAGUUACCCACAGUGUUAUCCUGCUCAUUAAUAAAUCUUACGC